GAUGUCCUAUCAAGGUUAGCCCAACUGGAAGAAUUGUACAUGGGGAAAAGCUUUGUUCAAUGGGAGGGUGAAGGACACGAUGAAGGAAGAAACAAUGCCAGCCUGUCCGAAUUGAAACUUUUGUCAAAGCUGUCCACGUUAGAGGUACAUAUCAAAGAAGCAAAUAUCAUGCCCAAAGAUUUAUUUUCUGAAAAACUGAAAAGAUUUAGAGUUUUCAUCGGAGAUGUGUGGGAUUGGAGUGGUAAGUACAAAACCUCAAGAACGUUGAAACUCAAGCUUAGUACAAGCGCUCUGUUGGAGAGGGUAAGAGUGCUGCUGAUGAAAACUGAAGAUCUAUAUUUGGACGACAUGAAGGGAAUAAGUAGUGUUCUGCCUGAAUUAGACAAUCAAGGUUUUCCUCAGUUGAAGCAUCUCCAUGUUCAAAAUAGCCCUGAUAUUCAAUAUAUCAUAGAUUGGAAGAUAACAGGCCGUUCCACUGCUUUUCCAAGGUUGGAGUCAUUAUUUCUUCACAAUUUGAAUAAACUGGAGAAAAUCUGUCAUGGGUCUUCUGUGGUAGGGUCUUUUAACAAUUUAAGAAAAUUGAUGGUGUGGAAUUGUACUGUAUUAAGAAGUCUCUUUUCAUUCUCUAUGUUU
rnacentral:misc_RNA from 1 species